UACGAAGGGUGCAAGCGUUACUCGGAAUUACUGGGCGUAAAGCGUGCGUAGGCGGUUUGUUAAGUCUGUUGUGAAAGCCCCGGGCUCAACCUGGGAAUGGCAAUGGAAACUGGCGAGCUAGAGUACGGUAGAGGAGAGUGGAAUUCCCGGUGUAGAGGUGAAAUUCGUAGAUAUCGGGAGGAACACCAGUGGCGAAGGCGGCGAUCUGGGAAGAUACUGACGCUGAGGUGCGAAAGCGUGGGGAGCAAACAGG
rnacentral:rRNA from 1 species